rnacentral:rRNA from 1 species
CCUACGGGAGGCAGCAGUAGGGAAUCUUCCACAAUGGGCGAAAGCCUGAUGGAGCAACGCCGCGUGGGUGAAGAAGGUCUUCGGAUCGUAAAACCCUGUUGUUAGAGAAGAAAGUGCGUGAGAGUAACUGUUCACGUUUCGACGGUAUCUAACCAGAAAGCCACGGCUAACUACGUGCCAGCAGCCGCGGUAAUACGUAGGUGGCAAGCGUUAUCCGGAUUUAUUGGGCGUAAAGGGAACGCAGGCGGUCUUUUAAGUCUGAUGUGAAAGCCUUCGGCUUAACCGGAGUAGUGCAUUGGAAACUGGGAGACUGGAGGGCAGAAGAGGAGAGUGGAACUCCAUGGGUAGCGGUGAAAUGCGUAGAUAUAUGGAAGAACACCAGUGGCGAAAGCGGCUCUCUGGUCUGUAACUGACGCUGAGGUUCGAAAGCGUGGGUAGCAAACAGGAUUAGAUACCCUUGUAGUC